UACGUAGGGGGCUAGCGUUGUCCGGAAUCAUUGGGCGUAAAGAGCGUGUAGGCGGUCCGGUAAGUCCGCUGUGAAAGUCGGGGGCUCAACCCUCGAAUGCCGGUGGAUACUGCCGGGCUAGAGUCCGGAAGAGGCGAGUGGAACUCCUGGUGUAGCGGUGGAAUGCGCAGAUAUCAGGAAGAACACCAACGGCGAAGGCAGCUCGCUGGGACGGUACUGACGCUGAGACGCGAAAGCGUGGGGAGCAAACAGG
rnacentral:rRNA from 1 species